rnacentral:rRNA from 3 species
GGCGAACGGGUGAGUAACACGUGGGCAAUCUGCCCUUCACUCUGGGACAAGCCCUGGAAACGGGGUCUAAUACCGGAUAUGACACGGGGUCGCAUGAUCUCCGUGUGGAAAGCUCCGGCGGUGAAGGAUGAGCCCGCGGCCUAUCAGCUUGUUGGUGGGGUGAUGGCCUACCAAGGCGACGACGGGUAGCCGGCCUGAGAGGGCGACCGGCCACACUGGGACUGAGACACGGCCCAGACUCCUACGGGAGGCAGCAGUGGGGAAUAUUGCACAAUGGGCGAAAGCCUGAUGCAGCGACGCCGCGUGAGGGAUGACGGCCUUCGGGUUGUAAACCUCUUUCAGCAGGGAAGAAGCGAGAGUGACGGUACCUGCAGAAGAAGCGCCGGCUAACUACGUGCCAGCAGCCGCGGUAAUACGUAGGGCGCAAGCGUUGUCCGGAAUUAUUGGGCGUAAAGAGCUCGUAGGCGGCUUGUCGCGUCGGAUGUGAAAGCCCGGGGCUUAACCCCGGGUCUGCAUUCGAUACGGGCAGGCUAGAGUUCGGUAGGGGAGAUCGGAAUUCCUGGUGUAGCGGUGAAAUGCGCAAAUAUCAGGAGGAACACC